GAAAAGAGAAUGAUCCUGGCUCAGAACGAACGCUGGCGGCGGGACAAACACAUGCAAGUCGCACGAGAAAGCCCCUGCUUGCAGGGGCGAGUAAAGUGGCGCACGGGUGAGUAACUCUGUGGUUAAUCUACCCUUGGGUUUGGGAUAACGUCCCGAAAGGGGCGCUAAUACCGGAUAAGACCACGGUGUCCACGGGCACUGGGGUAAAAGUGGGCCUCUACAUGUAAGCUCAUGCCUGAGGAUGAGACCGCGUCCCAUUAGCUUGUUGCUGAGGUAACGGCUCACCAAGGCCGCGAUGGGUAGCUGAUCUGAGAGGAUGAUCAGCCACACUGGGACUGGAACACGGCCCAGACUCCUACGGGAGGCAGCAGUGAGGAAUCUUGCGCAAUGGGGGAAACCCUGACGCAGCCACGCCGCGUGGGUGAAGAAGGCCUUCGGGUUGUAAAGCCCUGUCAGGUGGGAAGAACCGCAGUCUGGCCAAUACCUGGACUGCUUGACGGUACCACCAAAGGAAGCACCGGCUAACUCCGUGCCAGCAGCCCGCGGUAAUACGGAGGGUGCAAGCGUUGUUCGGAA
rnacentral:rRNA from 1 species